rnacentral:lncRNA from 1 species
AGGAAAAAAAAACGCGUCACAAAAGGGGGAGGGCUAACUGCGCAAUUUCCCCAUUUAAGUGGAGAUGCGCGGACCCCCCCCAAAAGCUAAACGGCGCCGUUUCUUGAUUCCUCUUUAUGCUUUAACAAAACUAAAAAAAAAAAAGAAAAUCAUUCUGCUUCAAUUUUUUUUUAAAAAAAACUCAGUGGCUCUGUUGGGUUUCUCCCAACCCAUUCUUUGCGCCACUACCAACCAAGGCCAUCCCACGCCCUUGGUCACCUCAGUCUCCGAUCACGGCUGAGAAAGGCGCACCGUGGCGGCACCGUGGCGGCACCGGUAAGCGUUCCCUCUUUCUUUUAUGUUAUUUUAAACAAAAAAUAAAAUGAAAAUAAAAGAAAAUAGAACAUAUGAAAAUAAUAAAAAAAAUACUGAAAAAACGAAAAGAAGAAACCUUUGUAAAAAACCCUUCGAUAUAUGUAUUUACUCUUCUUUUAAGAAAGCCCGACUUGCCCUCGUAUUGAAUCUUUUUUUCUCUCCCCCCAAUUUUUUACAGAUUUUGAUAGGCCUUUUAUAGGCCGAAAAUAAAGAAAAUAAAAUAAUCUAAAUGCUGUUUCUUUUCUCUGGGACUCUCUAAGUCCGUGUUUUUGCAGGUGACGUGCGUGGAGAGGGGUCGAUCUCCGAGUUGUACGGCGUUUGGAGAAGUUGCUGGAGGCAUGGAGUCUGCGGCGGCUAGGACAUAUGGAGGCUCUUAGGGUUUCAGCAAAUGUUUUUGCUGGGUUAGGGUUGAAAUUGGGUAUUGGGCCCGAUAUUGGGCCUGCUAUUGCUUUUGUUGUGUUUGUUUUAUUAUUUGUAGGGCCUGGGUCAAUUGGGCCCUAUUACAGGUUUUAAUAAAAUUAAAAAUAAUUAAGAACAAUACCACUAAGAUUAAGAUUAGUGAAUAUUUGGAUUUAAAUGUCAUAAUGAUAAUGUAAUAAAAAUAUGUUUAAAAUAGGUUUAAGUAUAAAGCAUGCGAACACUUAUGAAAAAAAAUAUAAUUUUAUCGUUACUUUAUGAAAAUUGAGAAGUUAAAACUUUUUACUUUAAUUUUGUCAGAAGUUGAUCUUCAUACUUAACGAAAAUUAGUAAGUUAGUCCAUUGAGUAACAUUGUUAAGCAUUAUCAUUGAAUCGCAAAUUAAAGUGGUGAUAUUAACUUGUAAAUUUUCAAAAAGUGUAAUGAUCAUUAAAGUAAGAAGAAGAAGAGAAAAAUUAAAGUGAUAAAUUGUUAUGAUACAUGCAUGCAUCUUGAAUGUUGUGGAUGUUAUAAUGACUUUUAUGAGAUUUAUG